rnacentral:rRNA from 1 species
UGGGGAAUUUUGGACAAUGGGCAAAGCCUGAUCCAGCAAUGCCGCGUGUGUGAAGAAGGCCUUCGGGUUGUAAAGCACUUUUGUCCGGAAAGAAAUCCUUGGCUCUAAUACAGUCGGGGGAUGACGGUACCGGAAGAAUAAGCACCGGCUAACUACGUGCCAGCAGCCGCGGUAAUACGUAGGGUGCAAGCGUUAAUCGGAAUUACUGGGCGUAAAGCGUGCGCAGGCGGUUUGCUAAGACCGAUGUGAAAUCCCCGGGCUCAACCUGGGAACUGCAUUGGUGACUGGCAGGCUAGAGUAUGGCAGAGGGGGGUAGAAUUCCACGUGUAGCAGUGAAAUGCGUAGAGAUGUGGAGGAAUACCGAUGGCGAAGGCAGCCCCCUGGGCCAAUACUGACGCUCAUGCACGAAAAGCGUGGGGAGCAAACAGGAUUAGAUACCCUGGUAGUCCACGCCCUAAAACGAUGUCAACUAGUUGUUGGGGAUUCAUUUCCUUAGUAACGUAGCUAACGCGUGAAGUUGACCGCCUGGGGAGUACGGUCGCAAGAUUAAAACUCAAAUGAAUUGACGGGGUCAUAGCUG